GGCAGCAUUCAACUUCGCUGGAGGACUUGCAGGCCCUCAUGGGCAAAAUGGAAGGAAGGACUGAGCAGCUCUUUGGCUACCCCACAUUGCAGCCCUCGUGCUCUCUGAGUGCAAAGGAAAGGGUGAAGAGCUGGGUUGGGCCAAGCAGGAAUCUGUGGAGAGCUGGACUAUCACUCCACUGUGGCCCUGAUGGAGAUCAACAAGACAUAGGAAGGAAGCCACUGUGCAGUAGAAGGGGAAUGAGAAACAGGAAGAGGAGGAAGAGGAGUUUCAUGAGGGAACAAGGUUGUGGAAAAGGAGGCAAAACAACUUCUGGAGGAGAGGGAGG